UAGUAGAGGCAGGUUUUCACCAUGUGGAUCAUGCUGGUCUCUAACUCCUGACCUCAGGUGAUCCACCCGCCUCAGCCUCCCAAAGUUCUGGGAUUACAGGUGUGAGCCACUGUGCCCAGCCACCAGUUUACUCUUGAAUAAUUCAGAAAUAUAUACAAAAUGAGGCACAAUAUAAACAUGUGGGAAAUCUAGGUAAAGGUACCAUUUUUGCGACUCAUCUGUAAGUUUGAGAUUAUGUUAAAAUUUAAAUGGAUCAAAAGAAUAAGUAUUAUUUACAGGCAGGGAUAUAAGCAUAAAUUUUCAGGUCAAUUCUUAAGUCAAUGGGAUGAGUUCCUAACUAGAGUCAGAAAACUCUGUUAAAUAAUAACACUUCUUUGCAUUUGGAGGAUGCUUAUUUUCCAAAUCAUUUCACAGCGAUUGCCUUAUUUGCUUCUUGCAAUAACCACAGGAAGUCAGGAGAGCAGAUAUUCUUAUUCCUGUUGGACAAAUGAAAAAAAAUGAAGCAUGGAAGAGUUAAUUGAAUCACCUAAGAUUCCACACACACUGAACCUAUCCAGAAUUGUGAUUCAUGACUCACCAGAUCCUGUGGCCCCCCUAUCCAGGGGUGCACUCAGCACAUGAGGACACCUGUGAUUCUGCCCCUAUGAGUUCAUCCCCAACCAGUCAGCAAUACCCAUUCCUUAACCCCCUGCCUGCCAAACUGUCUGGGAGACUGAUUUGAGUGAUAACUCCAAUUCUCUUGUGUGGGCCAGCCACAUAUCAAUAAAACUCUUUCUCUACUGCAA